UCAGGGAAGCAAUACAGGACACGGCAAGGAGUCCUGUCAGGCAGACAGGUACCCAGAGCCUAUGAUCCGAAUAGUCAGGAGGAUCCCACAGGCAAUGGUCAUCUAGAAGCAUGGGAGAGGCCAGGAUGCAGGGAGGCCGUAGGCACUUCAUCUGGCAAAUGGCAUCCACUCAUAUGCCUCCCUCACAAUUACUGUCAUCACCAUGGACCUACUUUUCCACACUAACCAGAGAGAGGGAAAGAGCAUUAUUUUCCUUGCAUCAGCCUUAUCACAGGAACAGCUGCAGAACCUAGAAACAAGAACAAGUAAGGAUGGUCCAACUACAGUCUUGUUGAUGUGACUAACCAACCCGAGAUUUGAACUAAAAGAGUAA